rnacentral:sRNA from 1 species
AUUAUCUGGGACAGAAGAACCAGGUUUGGCUCAACAGAUUUCUCUUUCCACCCAUCUAUUGCAGGUGUAGUGGUCUUGCUGCUUCUCCAGGGAGGAUCUGCCUACAAACUGGUUUGCUACUUUACCAACUGGUCCCAGGACCGGCAGGAACCAGGAAAAUUCACCCCUGAGAAUAUUGACCCCUUCCUAUGCUCUCAUCUCAUCUAUUCAUUCGCCAGCAUCGAAAACAACAAGGUUAUCAUCAAGGACAAGAGUGAAGUGAUGCUCUAUCAGACCAUCAACAGUCUCAAAACCAAGUCAGUAAGAUGGGGGUGGAAGCAUCCUGCAUGGGUUUUAGAGAAGGGAAGCUGGUCUUAAGCUGAGCCUAAGACAUACUAUCUCAUUCAUUCAUUCAUUCCUAUGUAUUUCUCUGGGUGUAUUUCUGAUCCUAACUGUUCUCACCAGUGCUUCAUCCCUUCACUGAACUU